rnacentral:rRNA from 1 species
AUGUUCGGGACCCCCAACUCUCCCUCCCUCUUCGGGACGCCCUCUUCUACGCCCUCUUUCGGAACUCCCUCCACUACCCCUGCCUUCGGCACCCCUUCCUCCACGCCGGCAUUUGGCGCGCCGUCGUCCACCCUGGCCUUCGGAGUCCCUUCAUCCACCCCAGCCUUCGGCGCACCCUCCUCUACGCCGGCGUUUUGGACGCCCACUUCGAGCCCGACGUUUGGCACGCCAUCGUCGACGCCGGCGUUCGGAGCGCCGCCGUCGUCAUCGCCGUCACCCUUUGGGUUCCAGCAGCAGGUGACUCCGUCCCCUUCGCCUUUUGGUUUCAGCGGCGGGGCUGGCGGGCAGAUUACCACCCAGAUGGCCCCAGUUGCGCCGCUGCCGCUCUCGCCCUCCGACCGCGACAUUCAGGCUAUGGUGGAUGCGUACAAGGAGGACCCAGGCAACCCUCGCUAUGCUUUUAGGCAUCUGUUGUUUAGCGUGACAGAUCCUUCACAAAGGGUGAAGCCUGUAGCAGCAUCUGAUAUCAUGUGGGCAGAGGCGAUGGGUAAGCUUGAGUGCAUGGAUAGUGCGGACAGGGAGAGGCUAUGGCCUCAACUUGUGCAGGGGUUUAAAGAUCUCUCCUGCCGGCUUAAGCUCCAAGAUGAAGUUCUUGUUUCAGAUACUGAAAGAUUGAGCAUGACCCACUCCAAUGUUAAGAAGCUGCAAAGACAUUUCCAAGCUGACACAUAUCCCUGGAUCCAACGGUUGAAGCAUCAAGAGCUUGUUAUUGAGAGGCGCCUCCUAAGGAUCAUGAGAAUAGUGGAGGCAUUGGAAAACCGGGGUUUCCGUGUUCCGUUAAUGAAAGAGGAAGCUGAUUUAUAUGAAAGAUUGGUUGCUAUAAUAAAGCAGAUAAAAGGAACCAGCGGUGAUCUGUCGAAGAGAGCUUAUAAUCUUCUUUCAACUUCACGUGUUCUUGCAAGCACCGGCUGCGCUAGUGGUCCCAUCUAUAUUCCGAGUUCAACCAAAGUCGAUAAGCAGAAUGUUACCGAGCUUCUUGAGGCAUUGCAACAGCAGACCGAAGCAGUUGGGAAGUUAGGCAAUGUAUUAAAAAGGGAUACCAGGGACGUGGAAAUUGUACUUUCGGAAGACACGGAUAUGGAAGAAGACAGUUCCGGGAGAAGGGCAUUCAAGAUGCAAAACUGA